rnacentral:rRNA from 1 species
GACGAACGCUGGCGGCGUGCUUAACACAUGCAAGUCGAACGGAAAGGCCCUGCUUUUGUGGGGUGCUCGAGUGGCGAACGGGUGAGUAACACGUGCGUAACCUGCCCUUGACUUUGGGAUAACUUCAGGAAACUGGGGCUAAUACCGGAUAGGAGCUCCUGCUGCAUGGUGGGGGUUGGAAAGUUUCGGCGGGUGGGGAUGGACUCGCGGCUUAUCAGCUUGUUGGUGGGGUAGUGGCUUACCAAGGCUUUGACGGGUAGCCGGCCUGAGAGGGUGACCGGCCACAUUGGGACUGAGAUACGGCCCAGACUCCUACGGGAGGCAGCAGUGGGGAAUAUUGCACAAUGGGCGGAAGCCUGAUGCAGCAACGCCGCGUGCGGGAUGAAGGCCUUCGGGUUGUAAGCCGCUUUCGCCUGUGACGAAGCGUGAGUGACGGUAAUGGGUAAAGAAGCACCGGCUAACUACGUG